rnacentral:piRNA from 1 species
UUCAAUCCCACAGUUGCUUGGCUAAUGC